ACUAAUCCUUUUGGUUUAUGCUAACAAAACCUAUUUUUGUAUAGCAAAGAUGGGAUUGAUUAUUCUACUGUUUUGCCCCCUAAUCUUAUGCAAAGGAUGUUUUCAUGUUUCGUUUUCCCAUGGUAUAAAUUUGUUUUAGAGUAGUUUUGUCAAAAAACGAAUGCUCUGAUUUUGUCGUCAUGCAAGAUUAGCUUGACAUUUUUUGAAAACUUUUUAAUACAUGUCAAGGAAGAUACUUUGGCUUCACUUUAAACCAGAGGGCCUUCUAAGAGAAAUCUUGUAGCCUCAAAGCCAAUGGGAUAGAAUUCCUUGCGAAUUCGAGUUUCGGCAAUCAUACCAUCGCUUUCGAAAAAGCAUGUUCCUCAAUAAAGUGGCUUCAGCUCCUUCACCUCUCCAAUAGGAAUGGGUAAACUGAUUGUCCCAAGAAGAAAGUUAAUGAAAACAAAGGUCAAGAAUAUCUUGGUUUAACAGAACUGAGGGAAAAAAAUAAAUUCUAGGAGAAAAGGGCAACCUAUCUGACUAAUCUGACUAAUAAGAAAAAGGGGGUGAGAUAGGCCUUUGAAAGAGGAACACAAACCUAUUUACGCUUUGUCUCCAUCUGAUGUUUUCUCUCUAAUUCUUCUUGUAAUUAUGAUCUUGUCCAUGCUGUGGUCAAUCAGGAGCCCAUUCUGUAACCCUUUGGCUUAGUGGGGAUUUCUCAUCUCCCAUUCUGUAACCCUAAACCUUCUGUAUAUCUUUCGAGCAUUAUAUGUUCGUUUGUUUCUUAUAAAUUCUUUUUUUUGGAAUCUAUGGCUUGAGAAGAACAGCAGAAUUUCCGAUAGUUUGGGAAAUACUUUUUUUCCUUUUAAUUCUGAAAUUGUUUGGUUUCUUAUAAAAAAAUAGAAUCUUAAUAAAUUCUUCGUACUUUCUAAUAUCCCGUAGAAAGGAAUAUAUUAAGUUUUUUUUCUUCUUCUUAUUCCUUAUUCA